CAGUAGCCACGGGAAUACGAAGGGGGCUAGCGUUGCUCGGAAUCACUGGGCGUAAAGGGUGCGUAGGCGGGUCUUUAAGUCAGGGGUGAAAUCCUGGAGCUCAACUCCAGAACCGCCUUUGAUACUGAAGAUCUUGAGUUCGGGAGAGGUGAGUGGAACUGCGAGUGUAGAGGUAAAAUUCGUAGAUAUUCGCAAGAACACCAGUGGCGAAGGCGGCUCACUGGCCCGAUACUGACGCUGAGGCACGAAAGCGUGGGGAGCCAACAGGAUUAGAUACCCGAGUAGUCCCUGUCUCUUAUAC
rnacentral:rRNA from 1 species